rnacentral:rRNA from 1 species
GAUAAACGCUGGCGGCGCACAUAAGACAUGCAAGUCGAACGGGAGUGAAGUUUAGUAACAAUGGCUUUAGUCGGCGGACUGGUGAGUAACACGUAAGCAGUCUACCUAUUACAGGGGAAUAACAAUGAGAAAUCAUUGCUAAUACCGCAUAAGCUUGUAGUAUCGCAUGAUACAGCAAGAAAAGGAGCAAUCCGCUAAUAGAUGAGCUUGCGGCUGAUUAGCUAGUUGGUGUGGUAACGGCAUACCAAGGCAACGAUCAGUAGCCGGGCUGAGAGGCUCAUCGGCCACAUUGGGACUGAGAUACGGCCCAGACUCCUACGGGAGGCAGCAGUCGGGAAUAUUGCGCAAUGGAGGAAACUCUGACGCAGUGACGCCGCGUAUAGGAAGAAGGUUUUCGGAUUGUAAACUAUUUUAGUCAGGGAAGAAAAAUGACAGUACCUGAAGAAUAAGCUCCGGCUAACUACGUGCCAGCAGCCGCGGUAAUACGUAGGGAGCAAGCGUUAUCCGGAUUUAUUGGGUGUAAAGGGUGCGUAGACGGGAUAACAAGUUGGUUGUGAAAGCCCUCGGCUCAACUGAGGAACUGCAACCAAAACUAUUAUUCUUGAGUGCGGGAGAGGAAAGUGGAAUUCCUAGUGUAGCGGUGAAAUGCGUAGAUAUUAGGAGGAACACCAGUGGCGAAGGCGACUUUCUGGACCGUAACUGACGUUGAGGCACGAAAGUGUGGGGAGCAAACAGGAUUAGAUACCCUGGUAGUCCACACCGUAAACGAUGGAUACUAGGUGUAGGGAACGAUAUGUUUUCUGUGCCGAAAGCAAACGCAAUAAGUAUCCCACCUGGGGAGUACGGCCGCAAGGUUGAAACUCAAAGGAAUUGACGGGGGCCCGCACAAGCAGUGGAGUAUGUGGUUUAAUUCGAAGCAACGCGAAGAACCUUACCAGGGCUUGACAUAUACAGGAAUACUUAAGAAAAUUAAGUAGCUCUUCGGAGCUUGUAUACAGGUGGUGCAUGGUUGUCGUCAGCUCGUGUCGUGAGAUGUUGGGUUAAGUCCCGCAACGAGCGCAAACCCCUAUUUCUAGUUGCCAGCACGUAAAGGUGGGAAUUCUGGAAAGACUGCCGAUGAUGAAUCGGAGGAAGGUGGGGACGACGUCAAAAUCAUCAUGCCCUUUAUGUCCUGGGCUACACACGUACUACAAUGGCCGUAACAGAGAGAAAACGAAAACGGUGAUGUGGAGUAAAACUUAAAAAAGCGGUCUCAGUUCGGAAUUGAAGUGCUGAAAUUUCGCCUACAUGAAGUUUGGAAUUGCUAGUAAUGGCAGGUUCAGCAUACUGCCGUGAAUACGUUUCCCGGGCCU